ensembl:snRNA U4 U4 spliceosomal RNA
AGCUUUGUGCAGGGGCAGUAUCAUAGCCAAUGAGGUUUAUCUGAGGCAAAAUUAUUGCUAAUUGAGAAGUGUUCUCUGCCACUGGUGGAUUCCCUGCUUUUGAGUUAGGUGCUGGUUCAGUCAUCUCUGGGAUGGUAGGGAAACA